AGUGAACGCUGGCGGUAGGCCUAACACAUGCAAGUCGAACGGCAGCACAGUAAGAGCCUGCUCUUACGGGUGGCGAGUGGCGGACGGGUGAGGAAUACAUCGGAAUCUACUUUUUCGUGGGGGAUAACGUAGGGAAACUUACGCUAAUACCGCAUACGACCUACGGGUGAAAGCAGGGGAUCUUCGGACCUUGCGCGAUUGAAUGAGCCGAUGUCGGAUUAGCUAGUUGGCGGGGUAAAGGCCCACCAAGGCGACGAUCCGUAGCUGGUCUGAGAGGAUGAUCAGCCACACUGGAACUGAGACACGGUCCAGACUCCUACGGGAGGCAGCAGUGGGGAAUAUUGGACAAUGGGCGCAAGCCUGAUCCAGCCAUACCGCGUGGGUGAAGAAGGCCUUCGGGUUGUAAAGCCCUUUUGUUGGGAAAGAAAAGCAGCAGGUUAAUACCCCGCUGUUCUGACGGUACCCAAAGAAUAAGCAUCGGCUAACUUCGUG
rnacentral:rRNA from 1 species